rnacentral:rRNA from 2 species
UGCAAGUCGUACGCACAGCAAUGUGAGUGGCGCAAGGGUGAGUAAUGCGAAGGUAACCAACCCUGGAGUUGGGCAUAGCCGCGGGAAACUGCGGGUAAUUCCCAGCGAUGUUACGAGGUGGCAUCAUCUUGUAACCAAAGGUGUGAUUCCGCUCUAGGACGGGCCUUCGUGGUAUUAGCUAGUUGGUGGGGUAACGGCCUACCAAGGCAACGAUGCCUACCGGGUGUGAGAGCAUGACCCGGCACACUGGAACUGGGACACUGUCCAGACACCUACGGGUGGCUGCAGUCGAGAAUCUUCGGCAAUGGGCGAAAGCCUGACCGAGCGACGCCGCGUGAGGGAUUGAAGGCCUUCGGGUUGUAAACCUCUUUCGUAGAGGAGGAAGGGACUGUGAAGAGCAGUUCUUGACCUAUUCUAGGAAGAAGCUUGGGCUAAGUUCGUGCCAGCAGCCGCGGUAAGACGAACCAAGCGAACGUUAUUCGGAAUUACUGGGCUUAAAGCGCGUGUAGGCGGACUGCCACGUCGGUUGUUGAAAUCCCCCGGCUUAACCGGGGAACAGGCACCGAUACGAGUAGUCUUGAGGUGGGUAGGGGAGACUGGAACUUCCGGUGGAGCGGUGAAAUGCGUUGAGAUCGGAAGGAACGCCCGCGGCGAAAGCGAGUCUCUGGCCCCAUACUGACGCUGAGACGCGAAAGCCAGG